rnacentral:rRNA from 1 species
CAGCCGCCGCGGGAAUACGGAGGGUGCAAGCGUUAAUCGGAAUUACUGGGCGUAAAGCGUGCGCAGGCGGUUUGUUAAGACAGAUGUGAAAUCCCCGGGCUUAACCUGGGAACUGCAUUUGUGACUGGCAAGCUAGAGUAUGGCAGAGGGGGGUGGAAUUCCGCGUGUAGCAGUGAAAUGCGUAGAUAUGCGGAGGAACACCGAUGGCGAAGGCAGCCCCCUGGGCCAAUACUGACGCUCAUGCACGAAAGCGUGGGGAGCAAACAGGAUUAGAUACCCCCGUAGUCCCUGUCUCUUAUAC